GCCCCUGUAGCUCAAUGGUUCAAGCCCCACGUUCCUACGUGGGAGGUUGAGGGUUCAAAUCCCUCCAGGGGUA
rfam:Pythium ultimum DAOM BR144 ctg_1117875579233, whole genome shotgun sequence.